GACGAACGCUGGCGGCGUGCUUAACACAUGCAAGUCAAGGACCGUAGCAAUACGGGACUGGCGCACGGGUGCGGAACACGUAGGCAAUCUGCCCUUCAGGGGAGAACAACCAGCCGAAAGGUUGGCUAAAUCUCCGUAAAAUCAUAGAGUGGCAUCACUUAUUGAUCAAGUUUUCUGAAGGAUGAGCCUGCGUCUGAUUAGCUAGUUGGCGGGGUAACGCCCACCAAGGCUACGAUCAGUAGCUGGUCUGAGAGGAUGAUCAGCCACAUUGGGACUGAGAUACGGCCCAGACUCCUACGGGGAGGCAGCAGUGAGGAAUAUUGCU
rnacentral:rRNA from 1 species